rnacentral:rRNA from 1 species
UCCUGGCUCAGGAUGAACGCUGGCGGCGUGCUUAACACAUGCAAGUCGAGCGAAGCACUGGUCAGAUUCUCGGAUGAAGAACCUUGACUGAGCGGCGGACGGGUGAGUAACGCGUGGGGAACCUGCCCCAUACCGGGGGAUAACAGCUGGAAACAGCUGCUAAUACCGCAUAAGCGCACGAAGAGGCAUCUCUUUGAGUGAAAAAACUCCGGUGGUAUGGGAUGGACCCGCGUCGGAUUAGCCAGUUGGCGGGGUAACGGCCCACCAAAGCGACGAUCCGUAGCCGGCCUGAGAGGGCGACCGGCCACAUUGGGACUGAGACACGGCCCAAACUCCUACGGGAGGCAGCAGUGGGGAAUAUUGCACAAUGGGGGAAACCCUGAUGCCAGCGACGCCGCGUGAGUGACGAAGUAUUUCGGUAUGUAAAGCUCUAUCAGCAGGGAAGAAGACGACGGUACCUGACUAAGAAGCCCCGGCUAACUACGUGCCAGCCGCCGC